UACGGGGGGGGGCACGCGUUGUUCGGAAUUACUGGGCGUAAAGGGCUCGUAGGCGGCCAACUAAGUCAGACGUGAAAUCCCUCGGCUUAACCGGGGAACUGCAUCUGAUACUGGAUGGCUUGAGUUCGGGAGAGGGAUGCGGAAUUCCAGGUGUAGCGGUGAAAUGCGUAGAUAUCUGGAGGAACACCGGUGGCGAAGGCGGCAUCCUGGACCGGCACUGACGCUGAGGAGCGAAAGCCAGGGGAGCAAACGGG
rnacentral:rRNA from 1 species